GUUUAUAUAAUAUAAAAAGUAUAUUUAAUUUCCAAUUAAAAAGUUUAAUAUAAUUAAUAUAAAUA
rnacentral:tRNA from 1 species